GUACACGCUGUGACUAGCAUAUCAAUAAGCGGAGGAAAAGAAACUAACAAGGAUUCCCCUAGUAACGGCGAGUGAAGCGGGAAGAGCUCAAAUUUGAAAUCUUAAAGGGUUUCCCUUUACGAAUUGUAGUUUAAAGAAGUGUUUUCUGUUGAGGUUUUGGUAAAAGUUCUUUGGAAUAGGACAUCAUAGAGGGUGAGAAUCCCGUAUUUGACCUUUACUUUCAACUUUGUGAUACACUUUCAAAGAGUCGGAUUGUUUGGGAAUGCAGUCCAAAAUGGGUGGUAAAUUUCAUCUAAAGCUAAAUAUUGGCGAGAGGCCGAUAGCGAACAAGUACCGUGAGGGAAAGAUGAAAAGAACUUUGAAAAGAGAGUUAAACAGUACGUGAAAUUGUCAAAAGGGAAGCGUUUGACACCAGUGUUGUUUUUCUGAAAAUCAAUUAAAGAACUGUUUAUGCUAAGCUGUUUAGACUUUAUCAGCUAUACUGUUUAGUUUUGAGCUUUUCUUUAAUGCACUUUUCAGUUAACAAGUCAACAUCAAUUUCUCUUUGCUGUAAAAAAGCUUGAGGAAGGUGGCUUGAGAUUCGUCUUAAGUGUUUAUAGCCUCUUGCCUAUGCAGUCGGAGAGAUUGAGGUCUGCAGCGUAGAUCCUUCGGGGCUAAAUGCAUUUGUGCUAAGUUAUAGCAUUUUAUAGACAACUUGUUGACUAUGAUUUGUCUUGUAGCUUACUCGCUUAUGUUAUUUUACCUACGCUUAGGAUGUUGAAGAUGUAGCACAUCAU
rnacentral:rRNA from 1 species